UGUUUUGGUCUAAAAACAUGCAAAAGAAACUUGGCCAAUAUCCAGCCAUCUUUACAUCAUGUCUGGUCAAUAAUCCACGUGCAAUAAUGUGGACUAAGUGGAGCACAAUUCAUGGCGUAAAUACGUGAGUAAUUUCAAAUUUCAAGAUGAAAAAAGUCUGUUAAGAACUUCCUUUGAGAAAAACUCAGUGGUGUUUUUUCCAUAAGCUUUUAACACUAAGAAACAUUACGAAGAAAGUGAAUGGCAUGGCAUUACGGAAUUGCGCCCAUUGAAACACGUUGACUGAACAUUCAAAUUAGCUUCCAAAAACAUUAACAGGGCAUGCGUAACUAGAUGCAGAGAUGGUGAGAGAUGUCAAUCGUUAAAAUCCCAAGUGUAUAUCAGUGUCAAAACCAUUGUUCCUGAAAUUUGCUUGUGAAACCUUGAUCUAUUCAUUGUGUAACAAUAGACGUAAUUUAGUAGGAAGACCAUCUUGAUUUAACCACCAUUGUUAAGAAAUACAUCGCUUAAAUUUAAUAAAUGCAAGAGCUUUGCGAAAACAAGUCCAUAAUAUUAUCAAUUGGACCGAACGAACAAACUUUUCAACUAGUCUAGAGAUAUUGACAAAUGUGCUGAUCAGUUCAAACCCACUGAUCGCCAAAUUAACAAACAACAGAAAGUGAAAACAAAUGCAGACUUAAUAUCCUUUCUUCAAAAGCAUUCAAUACAAAAUACCAGAAAAAAAAACUUACAAUUUGCUUCUUCUUUACGCAUUACUCCUUCUGUGAGAUCCAGUUAUUUACCAGACAGCGUGAUAAAGACACACAGCUCUUGAAGCUACUUGGCAAACAUGACGCCUUUUGGAAACUGUGGGGUUUAUCGCAGAUCUGACACAAACUCGCAGAGCCUCAGUUAUUAAAAUGCUUUAUUCUCUGUUGUUUCUGUUAAUUCUUAAAAGCAAAACGUUUUAUUGUUUGUUUGGAGAAUGCAGACUAGUUGUGUCGAUCAACUGUGAUGCCAUAUGCUUUCAGGGUUUGGAUAGACUGGCCCAGAUGGCCUCGAUGUGAUAAUUGUUCUCAGCCGAGGACUGGUAUUUACACGUUUAGUGAAAUUACAUGAGAGAAUGAAACCCACCAAUUUGAAAGGAACCCAGGUUUUCAAGACAGGACAUGAUGAUGUCAACAUUGAAACUCUGAUUGAUAAAAAAACACAGAGAAGCAACAUGUGCUGAGACUCAAGACGAGAGAGAUUCACCAUGAAACAUCUGAUACCACAUUAAAUACAAACAGAAAGCUGUGUGUUGAGACUUUUGCGGACAGAGAUCCAUAUUGAGGCAAUAGUUUCCAUAUCAGAUACAAAACAGAGAAGCAAGAAAAAGAGCUAUGUGCUGAGACUCAGAGGAGAAAGAAUCAAACUGAGACAUUGGAUCCAAUAGUAGAUACAAAACAGAAGAAACAAUAAAAGCUGUGCUGAGACUCAAGAGGAAAAAAGAUCAAAUUAUGGCAUUGGAUACCCUAUCAGGUUGCCAUCUCAAGUGUACAUGCAGCGGCAUUAGCAUGGAAAGAAGCAAAGGAAAGCAAAGAACUUUGCUUGGAUGUUUCUUUAGUGGAUCACGUUUUAAAAGUAAGGUAGAUUUACAGGACGAAUUUUUUCUCGCCGGCGAUCGAGUUUCUUGCGAAAAAUUGAUAAGAUUGAUUUCACAACACAAAAGAAGAGAUUAGAAUUAAUGUCGAAUUGACUAGUAUCUACCAAAUUGUCUCGUAUCUUGCUAGUUUUUGAAGAAGCCGUGAACUGUAUUUCAAGUUUGUAGCAAAGGUAGAAUAUUAGCAUUACCUGGAUUUGUUUUUGUAACCCGAAUUUUCAGCCCGACAGUUUCAUUAUUAAACUUGUUGAAAUUACUGUCUAAUUGUCUAGUAUCUAUUUCGCAAAUUUACUGAAAUCUUUCUAGUUUUCGAGGACGCAUUGAAUUGAUGAAAGGGUUGCGCCUUUAAAAGGGCCAAGAAAAAAAUCGAAAAGUGGAAAAGUUGUCCUUAGGGAAAAAAGUCUGCAAUUUUAAAUGGUGUCUGGUUUUGAGUCAAACAUGUACAGAGUCUUUUGGCGGAAAAUACUCUUGCACUAUGUAGGAUUUUUUCCAUUAAAAGUCACAGUAUAUGCUUGAUUUCUAGCUAGACUCUGUUAAAAACCGCAGAAUUUUUUUUCUUUUUGGCAACCCUACAUAGUCAAAAAAUAGUAAAAGAGAUAGCCUACAUUUUGACUAGU